rnacentral:rRNA from 1 species
ACGAACGCUGGCGGCGUGCCUAACACAUGCAAGUCGAGCGGAGACAUGUUGACGGAAGGCUUCGGCUGGAAGACGAUAUGUUUUAGCGGCGGACGGGUGAGUAACGCGUGAGCAACCUUUCCUUCACAGGGGGAUAAGAUACCGAAAGGUGUUCUAAUACCGCAUGAGACCACAAAGCCACAUGGCUUAGGGGUCAAAGGAGGAAUCCGGUGAAGGGUGGGCUCGCGUCCGAUUAGCUAGUUGGUGAGGUGACGGCCCACCAAGGCGACGAUCGGUAGCCGACCUGAGAGGGUGAUCGGCCACAUUGGAACUGAGAGACGGUCCAAACUCCUACGGGAGGCAGCAGUGGGGAAUAUUGGGCAAUGGGGGAAACCCUGACCCAGCAACGCCGCGUGAAGGAAGAAGGUCUUCGGAUCGUAAACUUCUAUCCUCGGUGAAGAGGAGAAGACGGUAGCCGAGAAGGAAGCCCCGGCUAACUACGUGCCAGCAGCCGCGGUAAUACGUAGGGGGCAAGCGUUGUCCGGAAUGAUUGGGCGUAAAGGGCGUGUAGGCGGCUAAGUAAGUCUGGAGUGAAAGUCCUGCUUUUAAGGUGGGAAUUGCUUUGGAUACUGCAUAGCUAGAGUGCAGGAGAGGUAAGUGGAAUUCCCAGUGUAGCGGUGAAAUGCGUAGAGAUUGGGAGGAACACCAGUGGCGAAGGCGACUUACUGGACUGUAACUGACGCUGAGGCGCGAAAGUGUGGGGAGCAAACAGGAUUAGAUACCCUGGUAGUCCACGCCGUAAACGAUGUCGACUUGGAGGUUGUGCCCUUGAGGCGUGGCUUCCGGAGCUAACGCGUUAAGUCGACCGCCUGGGGAGUACGGCCGCAAGGCUGAAACUCAAAGGAAUUGACGGUGGCCCGCACAAGCGGUGGAGCAUGUGGUUUAAUUCGAAGCAACGCGAAGAACCUUACCAGGUCUUGACAUCCUACUAACGGGAUAGAGAUAUGUUAGGUGCCCUUCGGGGAAAGUAGAGACAGGUGGUGCAUGGUUGUCGUCAGCUCGUGUCGUGAGAUGUUGGGUUAAGUCCCGCAACGAGCGCAACCCUUAUUGCCAGUUACUACGUUAAGAGGACUCUGGCGAGACUGCCGUUGACAAAACGGAGGAAGGUGGGGAUGACGUCAAAUCAUCAUGCCCCUUAUGACCUGGGCUACACACGUGCUACAAUGGCCACUACAAAGAGGAGCGAGCCCGUAAGGGGGAGCGGAUCUCAAAAAAGUGGUCCCAGUUCGGAUUGUGGGCUGCAACCCGCCCACAUGAAGUCGGAGUUGCUAGUAAUCGCGGAUCAGCAUGCCGCGGUGAAUACGUUCCCGGGCCUUGUACACACCGCCCGUCACACCACGAGAGUUUGUAACACCCGAAGUCGGUGAGGUAACCUUUUAGGAGCCAGCCGCCUAAGGUGGGAUAGAUGAUUGGGGUG